CUCCCGCAUGGGAUGCGUGUGGAAACGGGGUCUAAUACCGGAUAUGACACGCUCCCGCAUGGGAUGCGUGUGGAAAGCUCCGGCGGUGCAGGAUGAGCCCGCGGCCUAUCAGCUUGUUGGUGGGGUGAUGGCCUACCAAGGCGACGACGGGUAGCCGGCCUGAGAGGGCGACCGGCCACACUGGGACUGAGACACGGCCCAGACUCCUACGGGAGGCAGCAGUGGGGAAUAUUGCACAAUGGGCGAAAGCCUGAUGCAGCGACGCCGCGUGAGGGAUGACGGCCUUCGGGUUGUAAACCUCUUUCAGCAGGGAAGAAGCGAGAGUGACGGUACCUGCAGAAGAAGCGCCGGCUAACUACGUGCCAGCAGCCGCGGUAAUACGUAGGGCGCAAGCGUUGUCCGGAAUUAUUGGGCGUAAAGAGCUCGUAGGCGGCUUGUCGCGUCGGAUGUGAAAGCCCGGGGCUUAACUCCGGGUCUGCAUUCGAUAC
rnacentral:rRNA from 1 species